rnacentral:rRNA from 1 species
ACUCCUACGGGAGGCAGCAGUGGGGAAUAUUGCACAAUGGGCGCAAGCCUGAUGCAGCCAUGCCGCGUGUGUGAAGAAGGCCUUCGGGUUGUAAAGCACUUUCUAGUCGUGAGGAAGGUAGUGUAGUUAACUAGCUGCAUUAUUUGACGUUAGCGACAGAAGAAGCACCGGCUAACUCCGUGCCAGCAGCCGCGGUAAUACGGAGGGUGCGAGCGUUAAUCGGAAUUACUGGGCGUAAAGCGCAUGCAGGUGGUUUGUUAAGUCAGAUGUGAAAGCCCGGGGCGUCAACCUCGGAAUUGCAUUUGAAACUGGCAGACUAGAGUACUGUAGAGGGGGGUAGAAUUUCAGGUGUAGCGGUGAAAUGCGUAGA